GUGGUUUGCAGGCAGUGAAGGAAUCUUGUGAAGAGAUAGGCAGCUUUAGAAACUCGAGGGUAGACUGGUGGGGGUAUGCUGCUGGGCACCAAACUGCGUCAACAGGCACCAAGACAAAGACUUAAUGUUAAAUCCGUGGCGCAGGAAAAAAAAAUUGAAAUGGAAGUCAGCAACCUGUUUUUAAAAUAUAUGUAUAGCAUGCUUAUGAAAAUAACGCUGGGGAUUGCACGGUAUGCAAAACUUAUAACGUGCAUUAUUUUUUGUAAAAAUAUGGUAAUCGUGGCCAACAUUUACAGUGUCUUACAGUUGACAGCCUUCUCACAUACAUUAUCUUGUUCUGUUUUCACUGUUACCUAAGGUAGUUUGUAUUAUUUCCAUUUUACAGGUAAGAAAGCUGAGAUUCAGAAAGAUUCUGCCCAAGAGAGCGAGUUUUUGGAUGCUGCAUUGCUAUGAGUCAGAAUCAACUGGGCAGCAACUGGUUUGGUUUUGGUUUUCACAGAGAAGACAAUAGCCAGUUAAUCUUAAAGAGCAGCAGGAACCAACAGAGAUAUGCCACCUCCCCAAGGCGCCCAGCUGGCUUCUCUUGUACUUCGAAGGCAGAGUUGAGUAGUUGUGACAGAGAUCACAGGACUCUCUCAUAGCCACAAAGGUUUACCAUCUGGCCCUUCAAAGAACAGUUUGCUGGUCCCUGCUCAUGUUCAUCCUUCCUGUAAGAAUGAGAGGGGAUAAUGCAGGAGCCAUGGUGGCACAGUCGUUAAGCACUCGGCUGCUAACUGAAAGGGCCUGGAACCACGCCUGACAUUCAGCAAGUGAAGACAACAAAUAGUAUUUGUUGAAUGAAGGGAUGCUGGCUGGCAGCUAGAUCUUCAGGGCGAACCUCCAUCUGUCAGUCCUGGUAGAUCUGGUGCACGAAGGGGAAUCCUCUUGUGUGAGAAGGCUUGUUGUCUGCUUGGGAAGAGAGGUCUCCUGGGAUCCUGCCCCACCCUGGAUGCAAGACUGUAGGCUGUCCACCCUCUGGGUCCCAAAGACCCUGUCAGCUGAAAAACCAGACUCCAGGAGUAGCUGUAAGAGCAAGUACUGUUCACCUUUAGGUGAGUUAUAGACUGAAUGUUAACCCACUGGAGAUGCACCACCCUGUUAACCUGCUAGAAUGGAGCUGCUCCUGCUGCCUGUUUAACAGAAGCAGAUCCUGAGAUCUUGAGGUAAGUGAACACUGUCACCACGUACAAAUGUUUAUCUCCUUACAGUACAGUCACAGCAAGAAAUAAACACAGCAAGGCUGUGGGGACAGAGGCACCAC